rnacentral:lncRNA from 1 species
CGGAAAUGGCCUUGGCCAGUAGGUGGAAAAUUUUGAAUAAAGAGUUAGGGAAAUGGAGAUGCGUUGGCAAAAGUGAGGGACAACAUUCGAAGUAGUCAAAAUCUUGCCGACGAGGUUAAAUAUUGAUAAAUGUCGUUUUAUUCAAUUUAUUGUCACUUUUUUUUUUCUUGCAUAUUCAUUUUUUAUAUUUUCUUGCAUUUCCAAUUUUUUUUAUAUUUUCUUGCAUUUCCAAUUAUUUUUUA